rnacentral:rRNA from 1 species
UACGUAGGGUGCGAGCGUUGUCCGGAUUUAUUGGGCGUAAAGCGCUCGUAGGCGGUUUGUCGCGUCUGCUGUGAAAACCUAAGGCUCAACCUUGGGCUUGCAGUGGGUACGGGCAGACUAGAGUGCGGUAGGGGUGACUGGAAUUCCUGGUGUAGCGGUGGAAUGCGCAGAUAUCAGGAGGAACACCGAUGGCGAAGGCAGGUCACUGGGCCGCAACUGACGCUGAGGAGCGAAAGCAUGGGGAGCGAACAGG